rnacentral:misc_RNA from 1 species
GUAGGUGAACCUGCGGAAGGAUCAUUCAUAAUAAGUGUUUUAUGGCACUUUUAAAAAUCCAUAUCCACCUUGUGUGAAAUGUCUGUCGCUUUUCUCUUUUUUCCUCGGAAAAAAACGAAGCGGCUCAACAUCAACUCAUUUUAAUUACUUUGUCUGAAAACUAUUAUGAAUAAACUAAUUCAAAAUACAACUUUCAACAACGGAUCUCUUGGCUCUC